rnacentral:rRNA from 1 species
AUUGAACGCUGGCGGCAGGCCCAACACAUGCAAGUCGAACGGUAACAGGAAGAAGCUUGCUUCUUUGCUGACGAGUGGCGGACGGGUGAGUAAUGUCUGGGAAACUGCCUGAUGGAGGGGGAUAACUACUGGAAACGGUAGCUAAUACCGCAUAACGUCGCAAGACCAAAGAGGGGGACCUUCGGGCCUCUUGCCAUCGGAUGUGCCCAGAUGGGAUUAGCUAGUAGGUGGGGUAACGGCUCACCUAGGCGACGAUCCCUAGCUGGUCUGAGAGGAUGACCAGCCACAAUGGAACUGAGACACGGUCCAGACUCCUACGGGAGGCAGCAGUGGGGAAUAUUGCACCAUGGGCGCAAGCCUGAUGCAGCCAUGCCGCGUGUAUGAAGAAGGCCUUCGGGUUGUAAAGUACUUUCAGCGGGGAGGAAGGGAGUAAAGUUAAUACCUUUGCUCAUUGACGUUACCCGCAGAAGAAGCACCGGCUAACUCCGUG